AGAUUUAGUUGUAUUUAAACAUUUUAGUGGUCACAACUUAUUCUUUCAUGUUUUGUUGAAAACCAUAUUCAUUACUAAAUCACGUUAGUUUUUAAUAAUCAGCUUAAGUGUGCUGUGCACAGAUCAUAUUACGAGGAAAUGAAGUAAAGAUA